CAAAAAAUUAGCCGGGCGUGGUGGCGGGCGCCUGUAGUCCCAGCUACUCGGGAGGCUGAGUUGAGGCAGGAGAACGGCCUGAACCCGGGAGGCAGAGCUUGCAGUGAGCCGAGACGGCACCACUGCACUCCAGCCUGGGCGACAGAGAGAGACUCUGCCUCAAAAAAAAAAAAAAAAUUUUGCUGCCUUUCCAUUUUCCUUAGAACAAUCUCUGAAAUCCCUAAAGUUGAUGUGGUGUACAAGGACUUCCUCAGCCCACCUGGUCACCCUCUCCCUCUCUGACCUUCUUCUCUUACAUCACCCUCCAACCAGCCAGACUCCUUCUGGUCCUUCCCUCCCCCCGUGAGCCUUUCCCAUAAAUCUCCACUGCCUGGAAAGCCCACCCCCCUCCCCAGCAGAUUCAUCCCACCCAUCCCUCACAUCAUUUCCCCAGGGGCACCUUUUCCAACCCCAAAGACUAAGUUGUUUCUUCAUUGUAUGGUCUCAGGGCUCCUUGCAUGCUCUUUUUGCCUACAGUUGCCACACUUAUAAUUAUUUUAUUGUCUUAUAUAACUUUUUGAUUAUUUAUUUAAAGGAUUUAUUUCACCCUAGAUUGUAAAUCCCCUGAGAUUAGAGAAGGUUUCACUGCUGAUUCCUUGAACAACAAUUUUGGCUGAUAGGUUCAACCAUGUGAAAUGGC
rnacentral:lncRNA from 10 species